UAUUAAUGACAUUAUUAGAGGUUAUUGCAAUGUUAAGGAGAAACAAUGUCAUAAAACAUUUUUUUGUAGAUGGAGUUUCGCUUAUGUUGCUCAGGCUGGAGGGCAAUGACACGAUCUUGGUCCAGGUUCAAGUGAUUCUCCUGUCUCAGCCCCUCAGAUAGCUGGGAUUACAGUGUAACCAAGGACAUAGAAAAUAAUUUUCCCUGAGGCCCAGUUUCCAGAGGACAGAAAAGUUGGUCCCAGGCCAUCAAAGCAAUCUUAUGCUAAAGGGAUACACCAUCAAGGGCUUCACUAAGCCUUGUAUGAAGUACAAGAUAAUCAAUGAAGUCUGGAGUUAGAAAUCUGGGCUCUCUGUUUCCUGUCACAAAACUUCUGGUUUCCAAGCCCUUUACAAGAGAACUUUAUGAAAAUACCAUAUACAUACCACCUCUGGCUCUCAAUUUAGGAAUAUUCUCACUAAAGUCAUCCUGUUACUGUCUUUAAUGAAUGUAGAUUCAGCUGAUAUCUUUAAAAUUGUCUCACAAGCACAGAUGUAAAUAUUCUAUGGUAAGAUAAGCAUGCUUUGUUUGCAUUUAUUUUAUCCAAUGUCAGAAUUAUUAAACAUUUAUAUUAAAUAAUAUAGUUUGUCUUCUAUUAUAUUUAAUGAUUAUGUGAUAUAUUUAGAACUUGCUCUUUAAAGUACUCCAAUGGUAAAUGUUUUAUU
rnacentral:lncRNA from 1 species